rnacentral:rRNA from 1 species
AUGAGACUGCGGCUGCGUCUGCUGGUUCUGUGCUUGAUGAUAAUCCUAUUUGUGGUCUACAACAUGGCAAGCUACCAACGCAGACAGACUGUGUUGGAUGAAGACGCUCCCCCGUUUGAUACGAUGAUGGGGUCUGACAGGGCUGCUGUUAAGGUAUCCGGGACUGGGAGAGCUUCUGCUUCUACUGCUAGGGUCGGGUUUUUGCCUCAUGGUAUAGUGGAGCCUUACUCCGACAUGGAACUCAAGCCAUUAUGGCUGACAAGAAGCGUGCAAUCACAGCAGGAGUCUAACCAGAAAGACAGGUGCUUGAUUGCUAUCCCUGCUGGUAUAAAUCAGAAGAAAAGUGUAGAUGCUCUUAUGAAGAAGUUUCUUGCAGAGAACUUUACAGCUAUAUUGUUCCACUACGAUGGGAAGGUCAAUGAGUGGAAUGAUCUACCAUGGAGUAAAAGUGUGAUACACAUCGCUGCUUCUAAUCAGACAAAAUGGUGGUUUGCUAAAAGGUUCCUCCAUCCUGCUGUCGUCUCCAUGUACAAGUAUAUAUUUCUUUGGGACGAAGAUCUUGAAGUAGAUAAUUUUAACCCAAGAAGGUACUUGAAUAUAGUCAAAUCAGAAAGGCUGGAGAUAUCUCAACCUGCUCUUGACCCUAAGUUAUCUGAAAUUCAUCAUCCGAUAACUGUUCGUAAGAAAACAGGGAAUUUCCACAGAAGAGUCAGUCGGGCUAAUAAAGAUUGUUCAAGAGAAGGGCCACCUUGUUCUGGAUGGGUCGAGGGCAUGGCACCGGUUUUCUCGAAAUCUGCUUGGCAAUGUGCUUGGCAUCUCAUCCAGAAUGAUCUUGUCCAUGGAUGGGGUAUUGAUUACAAGUUUGGAUAUUGCGCCCAGGGUGACAGGACAAAGAACAUUGGAGUAGUUGAUAGCGAAUUUGUAGUCCAUCGAGGUGUACAGACAUUAGGAGGUUCUGCAAUGACAAAGCGUACCCGUGGCAAGAACUCGCAUGCACUUCGCCAGAAAACUGCUCAAGUGCAGCAACAAACGAGAGGGAAGGCAGCAGGCCUUGACAUGAGGACAAAGGUCAGGAGAAAAUCGCGGGUGGAGCUUCGUGAUUUCCAGAAGCGCUGGGAGCGCGCUGCGAGGGAAGAUAGAACUUGGGUGGAUCCAUUCACUCGCUCCCGGAGAAAGAGGAGGAGCAGGCCAGCAGUAGAUUAA